rnacentral:rRNA from 1 species
AACGAACGCUGGCGGCGUGCCUAACACAUGCAAGUCGAGCGCGAAUGGAGCAAUCCUAGUAGAGCGGCGCACGGGUGCGUAACACGUGGGUAAUCUGCCCCAGAGACCGGGAUAACCUACCGAAAGGUAAGCUAAUACCGGAUAAGCCUACGAAGUCUUCGGACUCUGAAGGAAAAGGUGGCCUCUGUAUACAAGCUAUCACUUUGGGAUGAGCCCGCGGCCCAUCAGCUCGUUGGCGGGGUAAUGGCCCACCAAGGCAACGACGGGUAGCUGGUCU